UGGUGAGGGACGACGAUU
rnacentral:siRNA from 1 species